rnacentral:rRNA from 1 species
GUAGGGGGCGAGCGUUGUCCGGAAUUAUUGGGCGUAAAGCGCGCGCAGGCGGCUCUUUAAGUCAGGUGUGAAAGGCUGCGGCUCAACCGCAGAGCGGCACCUGAAACUGGGGAGCUUGAGUGCAGGAGAGGGGAGCGGAAUUCCCGGUGUAGCGGUGGAAUGCGUAGAGAUCGGGAGGAACACCAGUGGCGAAGGCGGCUCUCUGGCCUGUAACUGACGCUGAGGCGCGAAAGCGUGGGGGGAGCAAACAGGAUUAGAUACCCUGGUAGUCCACGCCGUAAACGAUGAGUGCUAGGUGUUGGGGGCGUUACGCCCUCAGUGCCGAAGGUAACCCAAUAAGCACUCCGCCUGGGAGUACGGCCGCAAGGCUG